CCAAGGUCCUUUAAAUAUUGUCAGACGCGUCCCAAAGUGCGGCCCGGUCUGAAAGAAUCAAAACAGAGUAGAAACAGGACCCGAUCUAGGUCAUGUAUCGCCGAGGCGAGCUCCCUGUUCGCCUGUGCAUGAAUUGAGGAGCAUGUUGGGCUUGGGCGUCAAUUUGGACGCCUAGCGGUGAUUUGCUCCACGCUGUUUUCUCGUUCCUG
rnacentral:lncRNA from 1 species